rnacentral:rRNA from 1 species
GACGAAUGCUGGCUGCGUGCCUAACACAUGCAAGUCGAACGGUGAAAGGGAGCUUGCUCCCUGGAUCAGUGGCGAACGGGUGAGUAACACGUGGGCAACCUGCCCCUCACUCUGGGAUAACUCCGGGAAACCGGGGCUAAUACCGGAUACGACCUGGUGCGACAUCGCACCGGGUGGAAAGAACUUCGGUGAGGGAUGGGCCCGCGGCCUAUCAGCUUGUUGGUGGGGUAACGGCCGACCAAGGCGACGACGGGUAGCCGGCCUGAGAGGGCGACCGGCCCCACUGGGACUGAGACACGGCCCAGACUCCUACGGGAAGCAGCAGUGGGGAAUAUUGCGCAAUGGGCGAAAGCCUGACGCAGCGACGCAGCGUGAGGGACGAAGGCCUUCGGGUUGUAAACCUCUUUCAGCGGGGACGAAGCGAAAGUGACGGUACCCGCAGAAGAAGCACCGGCUAACUACGUGCCAGCCGCCGCCGUAAAAC